CCUGUCCGAGCGUCAUGAGACCAAUCAAGCUCUGCUUGGUAUUAGGCCGCACCAGCAAUGGCCGGCGUCAACUCCAGUGGCGGUGUCGCGGGGCUCCGAACGUAGUAACAUCGUUCGUUGCGGACUUCCGCGGUGCGCGACCAGAAACCCCAACUCUUCAGGUUGACCUCGGAUCAGGUAGGAGUACCCGCUGAACUUAA
rnacentral:misc_RNA from 1 species